UUCCGCAUCCAACUGCGCAGGUGCUGGGGCCUCGGCGCCGCCCCCGGCACACGGGCUCUGCCCAGCGCGGCGUCCGCGCCCAGUGGUGGCGGAACGGCGGCAGGCCUGUCGUGAGGGAAAGCGCUUUCCACGUGCUGCGGCCGAAGCCACUCCCCUUGUGUGCAUGCUUCCAGAGGCGACGAAGGAAAGCGUCUACACAUAAGCUCAGGGGACAAAAAUGAAGGUUAUUGAAAAGAAUCAUGCUUGGUGGAAGAAGUAAUUACAUUUUUUUUCAAAUGUCAGAGGAAUAAUGCUUUUAUAUUUCCUGAGGUGACCCAAUUUGCACUACGAUAUGCUCCCUUAAAUGAGAAAAGCAACGAUAGCCCAUAGAUGAUCUGAAAACAGAAUGAAUUGGAACACUUGUGCUUGAAAGGAAAGUGAAGUUUCUUGUACAGUCAAGAUGCAGGAGUGAUAAGGGGGAACUGAGGACUAAAUUGUUCAAAUGGUCUUCCUAAGGGGCCUGGAAGAAGUCACAUCUACAAGCCAGAACUUACAUAUCUUUCUGCUGACCCAAAAUUUUUAAAGAAAACUUUUCUUCCCUAACCAACUGCAAAUCAGAAAAUAUUAGAAUCUACUUACAACCUGUAAGCCUCCGCUUCAAGAUACCCCAUCUUUUUAAACCAAAGCAAUGAAUAAGCUCCAUAUAUUGAUUUAUGAUUUUGCCUGUAACUUCUUUCUUGAAAUUUACCCAUUUCUUUAAAGACACUUGCUUGAAAGCCAUCAGGAAGAUGAGUCUGAUGUGUGCACUGCCACAUUCUCUGUGCCUGGUACCCUGCAAAUAAAUACCCUCCAUUCUGCAGUGGCAAACCUCAGUGUGAAUAUUUGGCCGCUCUGUGAAUAUUGACCCACUGUAUGAGUGGACUCACUUUGAUUUGGUAACAAAAACCUAUGGGGAAUAUAAAAAGCUCUAACAUACACAUUAUUGGUGUUCCAGGAGACAAAAAGAAACAAGUAGGAAAAAAUAUUUUAGGAAGUAAUGACCAAAAAUUUCUCAAAGCCAGAGUUUUCAUAAGCUCAUGAUCCUCAUAUAGGGUACAUGCAAAUAAUACCACAUAUUUUCUCAUAAGUAUUAGACUGCUGAAAACCAAGGAAAAAGACAGACUCCUAAACCUGGCUGACAGAAAUGUCAAUGUUUGUUUAGGAAAAAAAGGCAAUUUAUCAUUGGCUCUCUGUUAGAAAAGUUGGAGGCCAGAAGAUUGUGAAAUACUGUCUUAAAAGCUCUAAGAGAGAAAAAAAAAUAUAUAUAUAUAUAUACACACAC